rnacentral:pre_miRNA from 1 species
GUCAAACUUUGUUAACAUUGACCAAAUUUAUAGAAAAAUGCACCAACAGACAACACCAAAUUAGUUUAAUUAAAUUUUCCAUACAAUAAGCUUUGAUAGAGCAAUUUUUUGAGAAGUAGAUGUUAAUAUAUUUUUCUAAAAACUUGGCCAAAGUUAGAGAAGUUUGACUU